UACGUAGGUGGCAAGCGUUGUCCGGAUUACUGGGCGUAAAGAGCGCGCAGGCGGUCGUUCAAGUCGGCGUCGUGAAAGCCCCGGCUCAACUGGGGAGGGUCACGCGAUACUGAUCGACUCGAAGGCAGGAGAGGGUAGUGGAAUUCCCGGUGUAGUGGUGAAAUGCGUAGAUAGUCGGGAGGAACACCAGUGGCGAAGGCGACUACCUGG
rnacentral:rRNA from 1 species